rnacentral:lncRNA from 1 species
UACAGCUCCCAUCAGCCCCAGCCAGUGGCAGGGAUGAUGGGAGCAGCCCUCCAACCACAUCUGGAGGACACUAUAUGGGCUGUGUUCAAGGGCAAAGGGAACACUCCCAACAGGCAGCCAAAGUCCAUCACUCCCAUGUCGGGUCACUCCAAACUCUGCUGGCUCUGUCUCCAUCUCUCCUUCAAACUUCAGUUUUCUCCCUUUGCUUUUCUCACAGACACUUGCCUGGUGGUAGAGCAUCCAUUUCCCGUGCAGAAGGUCCUCUCUGAAACCCUGGAGGGCCACUGCUGAUCAGUGUUGAUAGCACUGAGCUAGAUGGACCAGUCGUUUGACGUGGUGUAAGGAAGCUUCCUGUGCUCCAGUGCUACUGCAAUCAAAAUGCCAACAUCAAACUGUGAGUAUCAGAAUGCCAGAUUUCCUAAUUUAAUCUAGGUUUACCCUUUCCUCAAAAAAACCCCAGUAAGUAAAAAAACAAAACAAAAGUAUGUUGUCAGCAACUGAACUGCAAUAUCUGAAUGACUCAUUUGCAAUAUUAAUCCCCUAUCUGGAAACUCCUUAAAACUGUUAUCUAUAGACACACUUAAGGUAAAGGUAAAGGGACCCCUGACCAUUAGGUCCAGUCGCGGACGACUCUGGGGUUGAGAUGCUCAUCUCGCUCUAUAGGCCAAGGGAGCCGGUGUUUGUCCGCAGACAGCUUCUGCGUCAUGUGGCCAGCAUGACUAAGCCGCUUCUGGCGAACCAGAGCAGCGCACGGAAACGCCAUUUACCUUCCCGCCGGAGCGGUACCUAUUUAUCUACUUGCACUUGACGUGCUUUCGAACUGCUAGGUGGGCAGGAGCUGGGACCAAGCAACGGGAGCUCACUCCGUCGCGGGGAUUCGAACCGCCGACCUUCUGAUCGGCAAGUCCUAGGCUCUGUGGUUUAGACCACAGCGACACCCGCGUCCCUAUAGACACACUUACUUGGGUGUAAAUCCUAUUAGCUGGGUUACUUUGGGCUCCCAGUCUCUUUCUCCUCCCUCCCCAUUCCCUGGUUCUGCUGACGCGGUGGUUUGGCUUCACCCCCGGAAGUGCACUCCAUUGUCUCUCAGUACAGAUGGAUGCCAACAACAUAUCUUCCUUGCAAAAUUAGACAUUCGGUAUUUUGCAUUGUAUCCAAUGUGAGUCAUAUUUAGGGAUGCAAGUAGGCAUCCUUUUCUGUUCUGCCCUAUAUUUGCUUCAUGCAGCACUGUUUCCAUUCCACCGCAAUUCGUCUUGUGCCAAAAACUACAUUAUUUGUCUCACUGUCUGCUGUUGCGAUAUUACAUCACUUUUGUAAUUAAUUAUGUUGUCAGUAAUUUAUGCCAUCUCAUUAGUAAUGCAGAUGGGUGAUGGAUGAACAUAAACUUGUAGUAUUUGCAGACUGAAAGUAACAGCAACAGUGAAUACCACUCGUAUUCACUGGGCUGAUUUCUGUUCUGGACAUCGGACAAAUAAGGGAACAUGGGCAAUUUCUGCUAAGGUUUCUGUUAUCACUGGAAUUCUCCAACAUCCCUAGUCAUGCCUGGAGUAGAUCCAUUGAAAAUAAUAGACAUGACUAUCUUCUGCCCAUUUAUUUCCAUGAAACUAAUUUGAGUAGAAAUUAGUUGGUAAGAACCCCCUGUUUCCAUUCCAUUCCUGAAGCAUCUGUAACCUGAAGCGUCUGUAACCUGAGGUACCACUGUACUUUAAAAAAUGUACAAUCUCCUACUUUAUGGGGAAAUGCUAAAUGAAGUGGUAAAGUCAGCACAAAUAAAGUGGGCUCAGGAUUUAGGUCAUAAUAUACAAUUUGAAGAUUGGGAAAAGAUUUGGAAGGUGAAUCUAAAAUUUACAGAUUGUAUCUUACUGAGAGAGACUUAUAUAAAAAUGAUGUAUAGAUGGUAUAUAACACCAGAGAAAGUAGUCAAAAUGUAUAAAAAGGGAUAAAAAACGUGUUGGAAAUGUAAAGAAAAAGAUGGUACAUUCUAUCAUAUGUGGUGGGAAUGCAAAAAGAUUAGAACUUAUUGGGAAAUGAUAUAUAAUGAAUUGAAAAAAAUGUUUUAAAAGAUUUUUGUUAAGAAACCAGAAGCAUUCCUCCUAGGAAUUUUAGACCAAGAUGUAAAAAAAGAACUUUGGAAAUUAUUUAUGUAUGCAACAACAGCGGCAAGAAUUAUAUUAGCUCAAACUUGGAAGACAGAAGAAAUACCAGCGAAAGAACAAUGGCAAGGGAAACUUAUGGAAUAUGCAGAACUGGCAAAACUAACGGAAAAAUUACAUGAAAAGGACAACAAAGAUUUCAAAAGAGAAUGGGAACCAUUUACAACAUAUAUGAAGAAGCAACAUAAAGAAGUGGACUCACUGGCAGGGUUUAAGUAAACAAUUACAACUGUAUACAACAAAAAAUAAGACUAUAGUGGUACCUUGGGUUACAGACGCUUCAGGUUAGACUCCGCUAACCCAGAAAUAGUACCUUGGGUUAAGAACUUUGCUUCAGGAUGAAAACAGAAAUCGCACGGCAGUGGUGUGGUGGCAGCAGGGAGGCCCCAUUAGCUAAAGUGGUUAAGAACAGACCUCCAGAACGAAUUAAGUUCUUAACCCGAGGUACCACUGUAUAUGUAUUGUGAAAAUUUUGGGGAAACAAUACGCAGGGUGAACAAUAUGGAAAUAAAACAAAACGGGAGUAUGAGGGAAGUCCAGGGGAGGAGGGUGGAAAUAUGAAAAAUUGUUAAAGAUAUAUUGUUGGAAGAAGUACCGUAUUUUUCGCUCCAUUGGACGCACCGGACCAUAGGACGCACCGGAUCAUAGGAGGGGGAGAACAGGGAAAAAGAUUUUUUUUCUUGUUCUCCCCCUCCAAAACAAGGUGCGUUCAAGGUACAUUCACCAGAGCUUGUGGGGCUGGCGGUGGGGGGAAGCGCUGCUUUCCCCACCGCCAGCCUCAAGAUCCCUGAAGCCUUUGGAGCGCAGCGCCCCGCUGCCCUGCACAGGUUUGCGCGCAGCCGUCCCCAAGCUAGAGCAGUGAAACGGAGCCCUCCGUCUCGCUGUUCUGGCUUGGGAACAGCCUUGCUAGCUUCUGCAGGACAGCUAGCUUCUGCAGGACAGUUUUUGGAGGGGGAAAUGUGCGUCCUAUAGAACAAAAAAUACGGUAUACAUGGAAAAAUCAUAUAUAUAUAUAUAUAUAUAUUACACAAAAUCUGGGGCGGGAAUCUUUGCCCCCAGCAAGUUUAGAGUCCACGUAAGUUAUUGGAAAUUGGAUGCUAUUAAGCACCGCCUUGUGUGUUUUUUCCUGCUUGCUUCCAUCACGUUGGAGGCAAUCAUGACUCCAGCCUGUCGGAAGAUUGCCUUGUCCAUUCCAAUGAUCUUUAACUGCCCGUUUUCACGGCAAAAAUCACAAACGCUUUUCUCAUUGUCCGGUUGCCUUGCCGGUCGCUUCCCAUUUCUUUGCUUUCCAAUCCCAGGACUCUGGGCCAGUCACAUCCCAUCAGGCCUUUUCUACAUCUUGCCCCUUUCUUUUUUCCUUUGGGUUGCCAGCAGUUCUCCUGAUGGCUUCAGCUUCUAGGAACAUUGCCGCCAUGAUAAACUAGGAGGUUAUCGUGUGUGUGUGCUGAUAUUCUUGGGCUUGUUGCUGAAUGAGAUUUCUGUUUGCCAAGUCUAAAUGGGGCGAGCAUCAGGGAAAAGGGGGCGCCGUCCCCCAACCUCCAUCUGCUCUCAGCUAACCCCCACCCACCUUCCUGCCUUCUUAUUUACAACCAGUCCAAAGGGUAGCCACCAGCUUCUUCCUCCUUUUUUCUCACUGAUGCCCUUGCAGAACAAGGAUGGGCACAAAAGUAGAUUUAGUUGGCUCUGUCUGUCAUUGGCUCCAGCUUCACCUACUGUUAGGCUUCCUGACUGCUUCCUCAUCAGUCGCAAUGAGUACCAGCCAUCACUAGGAGCCUUUUUUGUGGGUCAAUGUUCCUUCCCAAUAUCAGGCUGCAAAGAAUGUAGACAGGUAAGCAGCUGUCUGAGUAGAGGCAAUGUAAUGAUAAGUAGGAACCAAAGGGUGCUAUGAGUGGGUCCACAGAGGGACGCAGUUCUGGGGAACACCAGUGGAGAAUGGAAACCUACAAAUGAUGGUUUUUUAAAGGUGCUGAGAAUAGUUAGGAGACCUCUCAUAGAUAUUCCCACAACAAACUACAGUUCCCAGGAUUCUUUGGGGAAAGACAUGGCUGUUUGUGGUAUAAAAGUGCUUUAAAUGUAUGAUGGUGAUGUGACCAAAGUUUGCAAUUACAUACCACUGCAGUUUCUAUUUGCACAUCUGGAUUGAAAUUGAACCACUUUUCUACAAUGUAAAGUGAUAUUAUUGCUGUUAUUCGUAGUAGUAAAUUUGCACGCUCCUUUUCUAAACGAAUGGGUUGUUUCCAGAUAAUAAUAUUAAUAUUAAUAAUAAUAAUAAUAAUAAUAAAUUUAUUAUUUAUACCCCGUCCAUCUGACUGGGUCUCCCCAGCCACUCUGGGCGGCUUCCAACCAAAUAUCAAAAACAAUACUGCAGCAGACAUUAAAAACUUCCCUAAACAGGACUGCCUUCAGGUGUCUUUUAAAAGUAAAAUAGUUGUUCAUUGCCUUGACAUCUGCUGGGAGGGCGUUCCACAAGGCAGGCACCACUACCGAGAAGGCCCUCUGCUUGGUUCCCUGUAACCUCACUUCUCGCAGCGAGGGAACCGCCAGAAGGCCCUCGAUGCUGGAUCUCAGUGUCUGGGCUGGAUGAUGGGGGUGGAGAUUCUCCUUCAGGUAUACAGGACUGAGGCCUUUUAGGGCUUUAAAGGUCAGCACCAACACUUUGAAUUGUGCUCGGAACGUACAGGGAGCCAAUGAAGAUCUUUCAGGACUGGUGUUAUAUAGUCUCGGCGGCCACUCCCAGUUACCAGUCUAGCUGCCACAUUCUGGAUUAAUUGCAGUUUCCGAGUCACCUUCAAAGGUAGCCCCACGUAUACUGCAUUGCAGUAGUCUAAGCGGAAGAUAACUAGAGCAUGCACCACUCUGGCAAGACAGUCUGCAGGCAGGUAGGGACCUGUUUCUGUGAGCACUCAGCCUGAAUUUUUUUACUGGGUGUUUACACAUCUUCCCAUUCAACAUUCAAUCACCCUUCACUUUUCAGUUCUUUUCAUCAUCACUUUCCUAACUGCAAAAAGCUUGUUUAAUUUGUUGUUGUUGCAUCCAGGUGACAGCCUUUUGAUCCUCUGUAAUUACACAAAUCGAACUUUCCAUUAGAUAACUAUAUGCUUGAGCCCCUCCCUCAAAAGUGGCAGUCUGGAGGCAACCCCUAACCUGAGGCUUCCAAUGCCUUGACCUUCCCGUGUGGAUUAGAAAGUGAGGAAUGGUAUGGGCCUGUCAGCUUCUGUUAGGUCUUUGGGAAGAAUUAGUUGCUUUUUCAGGUGACUGUAUAUGUGCCCAGUGAAACACCCCAUUUACCAUACCCUUCAUUCUAUUUGGUAAGCUUGGAAUUUGACCCUUUCCACUGUAGGUUUCCCGGUCUCUUUGCAGGCCUUACAAAUGCAAUCUAGUUUGUCUUUCUCCCCGCUCCCCCCCCCACCUUCCCACCAAGCCCCACUGUGCAUACAGCUGCUAAAUAAAAAAAGCAUGUAAUAGAGAUAGUUGGAUUGUCAGGUUUCAUAAAGUAGCCUAGGAAUCUACAAGCCAGCCUUUCUUCGCCAGCCUCGCUCCUUCUCCCGUAACUGAGCUAACAAGAUAUCUCAAGGAUAUUCCGGUUAAGUGGUUGCAACAUGAGCAAUCGGCAAGAAGGAUGUUGGGUCGGGCGGGGGGGGGGUGUACUGUGCUGUGCUUUUCUGAAGGGAGAAGGGAAAAGGAAGAGAAAGAGUUUUGUGCCAUGUGGCAUCAGGUGAGGCUUUGCAGCCUCAGUGGAAUAGGCGGAUGAAGCACCAAGGUGGAAAUCAAAGGGUCCUUGGCAUCACUCAAAUCUGGAACACUUGUUCAAUAUUUUCUUUACAUUAAGUGCCUAUUGGGGGGAGGGGUUGGCUAGGUCCCCUUAGGGAUAUUUCAGUUAUUUUUUUUUUGGCAUUAUGUUACUAGCAGUUUUAUUUUCUUUUUUUUUUAAUGAUAUUUAUUGAAAAAAGAAUUUUUUAAAAAAAUUACAAAGAAAAAAGACAAAACAGAAAAAAAAAAAAAACCAUCAUUUUCAAAUUCUCCACUUUCAUUACCUUCUUUCUAUGACCUCCUCCUCCUCCCUUUUCUUGUAUCUUGAUUAAUAGUUGUCACAGCAAAUCCUUUCCAUAAUUCAUAGUGUUCUGUCAUUACAUUACCUUACUCUAUUUUCAUCUUAUCUUAUAAAAAACCUUAAAGCUUAAGACUUGAAUCUUAUUUUUACCAACUUCUCCUAACCAUUACCUUUUUACCUAAUUCUUUAAACAUUUUUACAAGAGCCAAGUAAUUUCAUUUCAACAUUUUCCUAACAUUCAUCAAUUUUAUAAAACAUUCCUAAUGAUAGAAAAAAGAAAUAAGAACAAUCCAAUCUUCUUCCAGCGUCCCUUCCUCCUGGUCCCGGGUUUGUCAGUCCUUUUUAUCCCAUUAGUCUGGCACAUUAACCUGGUGAUCUUAUAUCCGAGGCCUUCAAGUCUCUUCCAUGUCCCUUCCGCAGCUCUUCUUCAUAUUUUCCUUUCACUCGUGGGAACUCCAGCUUGGUAGUGUUUUUGACCCUUUUCAACAAAUCAGCCCCUUUCCCAUAGUCCAGACUAGACUCCAUGUGGUAUUUUAAGACAUGUUUCAAAUUCCCUCCAAAAUUAGGAGCCCCCACAGCUCCAAACAUCUGACGGCCCAUUGCCAGACUCGGAAAGUCCAAACAUCUCUGCAUAGGGGGGUCAGUCCAACCCCCCCAUUUCCAAAUCAAUCCAAACUUUAUCUUUCCAAAUCUGGUUUUUCCAAGUUCAUUUGUCAAAUCCAAAGGCUCAUUUUCCUGCAGGGCCAAAAGUUCCUCCCUUUCUGGCGCCCAAGAUUCAGCAACAUCCUCUUCUCUCAACUGUUCUGUCAUGGCACACUCCUGUUUAAGUUCCUGGGUGGGCUCCAUAUAGUUUCCCACUACCUGUUCAAAUGUUCUGGCCGCAUUAGUCAUCAAAUCCGUCUUCUGGCUUAACUGAUCCAAUAGGGCAUUUAUUUUCCAGAAAGCACCCAACAGUGCUUCUGAAAACAUUGUCCUGCAAGGUCACAAGUCCUUUCCCACGGUUGUAAUCUGUGGCAGCUGCAAGCUCCCUAGAAUUAGUUACAGUUUCACAGUCCCCCUCUAGGGGGAAAACUUCUGGUUGUUCUUUCUUUUAAAGACAAUAGUAACAAAGUUUCUUUUUUUAAGAUAUUUUGUCAAUAUUUGUUCCUUUAAAAUGCGAAAGGAAACACUGGAAUCACAAUGUUACUCUUCUUUUAACUGUCUGUCAAAAACAUUUGUCUCUGGUCAAUGAGCUUCAAACGUCAAUUCUGACACCCCGCUCCAGGAUCAGGACGGUGGAAAGUUACUUUACUUUAAACUCACUUCUGCAGGUUUAAACAGUCCAAAAAAGAGAUCCCCCUUCUUCUCCUGCUACCGAAGGGGGGUUCAACGAUUUUAAAUGGUGAAAACCAAUCCUUUGAAAGUGAUUUUCUAAGCUCUGGUUUACGUUGUCUUUGCUUUCUUCUGACUACAAGGAAACGGAAGGCUGACUUCCUGUUUAGACCUUCCCGUUUCAGUACCAAAUUAAGGUAAAUUUUUAAGUCCAAUUCCUUUCUAAUCACCAGUUCUUAUUUGAAGUCCAAUUGUUCAAUGUUUAAGUACUCACGGGUGAUUAUUUUAGAUGCCAAAUUGUCCCAGGAAAAAGGCAGUGCUCUCCGGCAACGGCUAUGCGGCUUCCCUCCACGGAAAAAGCAAUUGACUCACAGCACCGCGCCACUUCCCCCUCUUCGCUUCGGAGCCCGUUAGUGGGUUCCUUUGCGGGUUGGGGGGGGCACUAAGGGUGCCCGCCGAGUCCCACGGUCACAGGCUUCAUCCGCCUGUGAUUUCUAAAAGGGUCCCCGCUUCGCCGCAGCGGAAAAGACCCGUUUCGCGUGGAGCUGGUCCCUCCAGUUCAGAGGGAGUCCGCCAUUGCCGAUGGCGCCACCCCGGAAGUCCCCCUUAGGGAUAUUUCAACCCCAUUCCUGGAUUGUCAGCUUUCAUUUAAGGUUCCUUCGGGGACGUGGGUGGUGCUCUUGCCUAAACUACUGAGCCUAUUGGGCUUGCCGAUCGGAAGGUUGGCGGUUCGAAUCCGCGAUAUGGGGUGAGCUCCCAUUGCUCUGUCCCAGCUUCUGCCAACCUAGCAGUUUGAAAGCAUGGAAGAUAAAAGGCAUUUCCGUGCACUCUGGCACUCAUCACGGUUCCCAUUGCACCAGAAGUCAUGCUGGUCACAUGACCCAGAAAACUGUCUGUGGACCAACACUAACUCCCUCUGCCUGAAGCGAAAUGAGUGCCGUACCCCAUAGUUACCUUUGACUGGACUUAACUGUCCAGGGGUCUUUACCUUGCCUUUUACCUUCACAUAUCUAGUUUGUUGAACACUCAUCCUGAUUUGCUUACACAAAGCUUUAAAUAGUGGUUAGAUUGGGAACAGGAACAUUCCACACUGCAACAUUUUGUUGCCGCCAUGUGUGUCCCCCUAUAUAAGAUAGGCCUGCUAAGACAGAGCACAGCAGCUGCUCGUCUUAAUGCUACCUAGUAACUUUUUAUUGCUGCUGCUGUUUUUAAAAAGCUAUUAAACACCUUGAGCAUUUUGUAAAAAAAGGAGAGACGGGGCAUAACAUAUUUUGAAUAAAGAAUCCAACAACAAUAAUUUCAUGGUAGAGGAAAAAUUGUGGGAACUACUGGGUCCAAGGUAUGUAAUAUUGUAGCCAUGUUGCUAAAUAACACUCUGGUAGCCCUCCUGUUUUUCCUUCCUUAAAGCACAAUGGAUAAAUUUACCUCAGACUUUUCGCCUCUGAAAGAAUAAAGUCAUGGGCACCCAUUAUUGGCUUUCUUUUACCUCAGUUGAUGCAUCAAUUGAGAUGAAUAUCCCUUUUUGCUCCAUUGGAGGGGGAUAGAACCAAAAAAAAAAAAAAAGGAAAAAAAUGAUGGGAAACAUCGAUAUUCUCCAUCUCCUAAAACCCAGCAACUUGCCUUUUGACACUCCAUCUUCACAAAGCCUCUGCUCUCUGAAGAUUAAUUGAUGUUGUGGUCCACUCAGCCUGUUUCCAAAUCCCUUUUGAGCCACCUUUUAAAAACCACCUGCCUUUAAGAAUAAAUAAAUAAAUAAAUAAAAGUCACCAAGUCUCUCCCCCCCCCCACUUUUAAAAAAGGAACCUGGAUUCUCAAAUGAUUGUCCGCCUUGACAAAUUGGAUUCUGAAAGCUGAUUCUUGAAAGAAAAGGCCGCAGGUUUGACAAGACAAGAAACAGCUCAUCCUCUGAGGCGGGAGGGUAAAUAAAUAAAUAAUGGAAAGAAAAGAAAUCCCAUUCUUCCACUCUCGUGCGACUCAAUGGGCAACCCCCCACCCUUGUUGCUGAUAAGAUUAUCUCCUCUAUGAUAGGCGGCAGAGCCGUACAAUGGAGACCUAAAGCAAGCUGUACUUUUGAUAGCCCCCUGAUUAAUAGAACUGUCCAAUGAGGACCUUGGCAUCUGGGAAGAAUGAUUAAUGACAUUUUAUGUGACCUUAGACCCUUCCCUCUUCCCCAGGAAACAUGGGGAAGAGAAGGGCGAUAGUAGCUGGUGAAUUCUCUCAGGCUGACAACUUGAGAUUUGCGCCCGACACCCUUUUGUGUAUCGGAAAUGGCACUCUGGCAGGCGGCAGUCCCUUUCUCACAAAAAUCAAUAGCUACUUUGCAAGUCCCUUUACCGAGACAUGGACUUGACUGCACCUGUUCCAAAAAGGUGGACUCCACCGCCACUGCCCUGUUUUUGACAUGCAUCUACUCCAGGCUCCCAAAUUCACUUGCCAUUAUCUGGAAUGGGACUGCCCUGCAAGUGACCAUGAUGUUAAGGAAAAGUCAGAGCCAGUCUGAAAAUGCCCUAAACUGCAUUUAGUCCAAACAAAACCUAUUACUGUGUGGAGUCAAGCUCUGAAAACCACAGUUGUGCAGUUUUGUAGUAAAAGUUAGUUGUGGAAAGUGCAGGGUGGUUUGGUAUCCAUGCUGCCACGUAAUUCCCUAAGUGGUUGAGCUCUUCGAUUUGAUUUAAUAUUUCUAUGCAGUUUUUCCAGUAACAAGGUUCAUUUUUUUAAAUUUAAAAGUUAUAUACAACUUUAAUAUUUGAAAACAUCCUAGCCUAGAUGAUCUAUCUUGCACCAGCUGAUGAACAUCAGACAGAUAUAAAUAAUACUUACCGUAAGGCCCUCUACCAUUUUCCCUAUCUUUUCCAUGUUUCCCCAUCAGUUUGCACUGUUUUUUUAAGUCCUCAUGAAAAUUCAGCAUAUGAAUGUGAAUUUCCCCCAAUAUCCCCAAUAUUGUAAAGCAAUAUUUCCUAAUAUAAUGCAUUUUUGCUUGUGUUUUUCAGUAAUUCACUUUAUUUGUUUAACUUAUUACAUGUCUAUCCUGCCCCUGCUCCCAAAGGAGCUCAGAGCAGCAAACAAGUGAUAAGACAAUAACAUAUUUCUUAAAGUCUUUAAAGAAAUUCCAGUACAGAUGUAAACUGAGAAAGAUCUCUUCUUAGAAGACUUGUUGAAACAGGAAGUUCUUCCUGUUGCAAGGACAAGCAAGAUGGCCUUUGUCUAAUAUUCAAGGGGAGUGUAUUCUGAAGGGCAGGUGCCAGAACACUGAAGGAUCAAUUCCUAUAUUGUAUGGGAUGAACCUCCUGAUAAGCUAGUACAGUGGUACCUCGGGUUACAGACACUUCAGGUUACAGACGCUUCAGGUUACAGACUCUGCUAACCCAGAAAUAGUACCUUGGGUUAAGAACUUUGCUUCAGGAUGAGAACAGAAAUCGUGCGUGGUGGCAUCGGGAGGCCCCAGUAGCGAAAGUGGUACCUCAGGUUAAGAACAGAAUGGACCUCCAGAAUGAAUUAAGUUCUUAACCCAAGGUACCACUGUACCUGCAGAAGGCCCUGUCUUCUGCAAAGCACAGUGAUUGAUUGGUUAUAUAAGGGGUGAGAUUAUACUUCUGGUAUUCUGGCUCCAACCUACAUAGGGCUUUAGAUGGGUGUAACCAGGAUUUGGGAGGAGGGGAGGUAGGAUUCAUGUUGCGGGGGCAGGGCAGAGCCUUAGUUAAGUUUUUUUUAUUGAUUUACUUGAUUUCGGUGUGGGGGGAGAUGCCCCCCACUCCCCCCCCCCCCCGAGUACACCUAUGGGACUUUACCUUAAUUUUGCCUUUUUGUAUAUAUUACUUGGCUGGAGAACUGCAUGGCAAAAUUCAGAGAAGGACAAGUUCCUAUGUUGCUUCAGAAAGUGCAAAGUGGGUAUGUUGAACUUUAAACGUGAACUGAACCAAAUCCCCUCCACCCAAUCCCUACUGUGGGAUGAGGCUGGUCAGCUGAUUUCAUUUAGCCUUAGGAUGUGGCACACUUGUUUGCAGGAUGUUUUCUUUCUUUCUUUCUUUCUUUCUUUCUUUCUUUCUUUCUUUCUUUCUUUCUUUCUUUCUUAUAAAUACAUGCCACACAACCUAGCGGCUAGCCCAACCAGGAAGGAGAAGGGCUGCAGUCAAAUGUUCUCAGUCAAUAUAAAAUAAAAAUUGUCAGGCAGUGCAAAUACUGAUGGUCUAAGUUGAAAUGGGUAGGUUUCUGAAUUGCUGAAUCCCCACGUCUCUCUUAUAUUCACACACUCACACACACACACACACACACACACACACACACACAGAGAGAGAGAGAGAGAGAGAGUUUUUAACCAUAGUUUGAUCCAGCUUAGCUGUGUAAAGCAGGAAUUUAAAAUCUUGCUCAGUAAAGGGAGUUUUUCCAUGGUGCUUGCAGCUGCAGAACUAUUAGCCCAUUUAAUACCAAAAAUACCGUCCUCUGAUACUGGUUUUUGCAGCCCCUCCACCCCACCCCCAAUUCUACAAAGGGCCACUGGGGGGGGGGGAACGCUGACACAGGUCCUCUAAUGCAGAAGGUGCUUGUGAACUCCCUGCUGUGACUUUCCCCUCUCCCUUUUAUCUUUUUGAAUUGCAAAUAGAGCUUCAGGUCUGGGGAUGAGUCAUUUGCUGGCUUGUUAGGCAAUGCAUAGAAGGCAAGGCGGAAGGAGCUACAAGCAGUUUCACUGCUCUUGCUGAUCUCCAGGAGUUUACCUGGCUUUUUACUGUAGCUGGCUUUGUGCAAAACCUUCAUCUCUGCAGAGAUGGAGCAGUCUCCUAUGCUCCUGUGUGUGACAAGUGACUUGCACUCCUACCUAUGGACAAUGAGAUGGCAGCCUUGAGAGAUGCUCCUCAGUGCUGUAAAGGUAAAUUCUGAAGUGUAGGAAGAGCUCUGCACCAAUAGCUGUGUCCCCAAGGAGUGCUUAAAAAUGUGGGCAUCUUACACACAUUUAACAUGCAAUUUCAACCUUAUUCGGUUGAAGGCUAGCUUGUUGAAAUCCCACGAGUUAAAUGUGGAGGCAGUGAGAGGGGAAAGCCUUGCUUGAGCCUUAUUCCUGAUGAACAUCUUCACUCCCCCCUUGUUCCAGGGGACGGCAGCAGCAUUUUGUGGUUCGUCUCAGGUGCCAAAAUGCUCUAUUUAAUGCAUUUUACAAUGUUGUGACACGCCCUGAGACAUCAUAGAAUCAAAGUUGGAAGGGACCACAAGCAUCAUCUAGUUAUCUAGUCCUCCUGUAAUGCAGGAAUCCUUUGCCCAAUUUAUGCCUUGAACCCACAACCCUGAGAUUAAGAGUGUCAUGUUCUACCAACUGAGCUAUCCUGGUGGUAAUGAUUUUUUUAAACACACACACAUUGUGUGGGUAGGAGAGCAUUUUAGUGAAUUCGCUGAGCAUGUUUACUAGACACCCUGAGAAUCUGAGGAUGAACAGAGCCUAAGGUCCCUGUAGUUGCAGAUUCCCCCCCGCCUAAUUUUUGUCCUUACGGAUUUAUGUGGUAUCACGAGUCACUUGCUUGAGAACACGACAUCCCUCUCACAGAUUACUGCUGUCAGCAGAUGAACACGGUCACUCAGAAAAAUCUAUUUCUAGCCCUCUAAUGCCAUCCCCAGAUGCUACUUGUGGUCACUGGUACUGUGUGAAAACAAAACAAAACGUCGAGAUUUUUGCUGUAAAGGGUUUGCUUUGAAUUUGCUUCAACAAAGUGCUCAGAGAUCUAUUAAUUAGGAGAGUUGCAGAUUAAAAAUAAAAUAAAACCCUAGCGUGAUACAAGCAGAUGCUUAGUGUUCCCAGUUGCGGGGACAAGGGGGGCUUGCGGGAGGUCAGCGAAUACAAUCUGAGGAGCUGGCAGUACCUAGUUCGCUAUCAUAGUGAAAAAUCUGGCAAUCCUAGUCCCUGUGAUAUUGACAAGGAGAGAUGCUUAUUUCUCUGAAGGUCGCCUGGCAGCUUCCAAACAGCUGUUCAGCAUUGCACGACCUCAGGAAUGUUCUGAAAUAAGAGGUUUCACUCCUGAUUUGCACAUAACCGGAGGCUUCUUCAACUUGAUGUCUGGUAAUGAAGCCUUUGUUGGAUCUGCUGUGCUAUAUGGAAGUACAUCGAGUUGACCAUAUGGCUGGGGAAUAUUGGAAGCUACAAUCGUGACGUGGUGCUAAUUAACUGGUAUCUUUAUCUGCCCUGUCUGCGUUAUUUUUAACCGUGAAAGGCCUUUAAUUAUUUAAUUUUAUUUUUAAAAAACUAAGCCCUUAUUAAAUUGCCAGUGCAAACAGAAAAGCAGCAACAAAUCUAACCCCAAUGACAACACAGCCGAAGAUCACAUACACGCCCAUCUGCUCUUUUCUAAGUCGUAUGUAGAGCAAGCAAGCAAGCCCAGCAGCCAAGAUUGCUUGGCAUGGCUUAUUCUUCUGAUUUGCAGUAUUGGUUUUUCAGUGGUAAUCUGGAUUGUUUCACAGGAAAAGGAACAAUCACAUCUUGAAGGCCUAUAAGAUGCAGAUACAUGAAGUUUCAAAGUAGUGUUUUAGUCUCAGAGUAGCAUUUGGGGGCACAUCUACACCAUACAUUUAAAGUACACAACAGCUGCAGACGUUAACCUUAGUCAAAUGAAUCCUUACUUGGAGCACACCUUUAGGUUGAAAUGUAUUCAGACGGAGACUUGGUAUAAAAUAGCAAACUUCCAAGAAAUAGCAUGCUUGUUUGUUGUGCCACCCCUAUCACCUGCUCCUGGCUGUUAUUUGUGACCUCCAGGUUGUGGUGGUCCAGACUGAUGUCCUGAAACUAGUCUUAAUGGUACUGCUGUGUAUGUUUGUGAGUGCUGUGAGAGGCAGUGUAGUGUAAUGGUUAUAGCCUCAGACUAUGUAUUUGGAGACCUAGGUUGGAAUCCUUUAUGGCCGUGAAGUUCACUGGGUGGCCUUGAGCCUGUCACUAUCUCUUGGCCUACUCUGCUUCACAGGAUAGCUGUUAGGAUAGAUAAAACACACACACACACACACACACACACACACACACACAGACACACAGAGAGAGAGAGAGAGAGAGAGAGAGAGAGAGAGAGAGAACGAAUGAACCAUAUGCAUCAUCCUGAACUCCUAGGAGGAAAGGUGGGAUUAAAAUGCAAUGCCUAUAAUCACAGCCCUCCAAACUUCAUGCAGAAUACUCCUGAUAUUGAGAGCUGCAUUCUGAGAUUGCAAUUCAUGAGCAAAUUUAGCAGAUGCAACUUGAGCUGUGAUACCAGGGCUCUGCCAAAUAGCCCUGAAAUGUGGACGUUUUGUGUGUGUGUUUUUGUAUCAGAGACCAUAUAAUUCACUCUUGACAACCUGAUAGGAGGGCCAUUGGCUUCUGCUGAGCUGCAAGGUAGUUCGACAUGAUGUUACUUGGUGUAAUGGUAUAGGCGCUCCGGGCUAUGGAAAGGCUUACACCUCCCCGCCCCCCCAAAAAAAGGAUUCUACUUUGACUCUUAUCUGCUGUUGUUUUCUAGUCAAGACAGCUGGCUUCCAGAAUUGCCUGACAGAGGAGAGGAUGGUUAAUCAGGGCAGAAUGUUUUGGUACAGUCACGUCUUCUCCUCUUUCUUCUUCCUCUUUCCCUCCACCUGCCCCCUACUAAGGUAUUGUCAUAAAUGUAGGGGUUGCUCGUGCGCAAGUUGGUGCCACUCCUGGCUAGGUUGCCUUGUUAAACCUUUUCUGUCUGGACAGCCCUACACUUCGUGGCUGUUCAGUCGCUAGCAGAAUCUGUCAGUGGGCGUUUCUUAAACAUUUUCCAGCAUAAAAGUUGUUUGACUCCAAGUCUCCUCCUACUCUCCCUGCGCGGAAGUUUUCUGCGCAGGGAGGGCGUGGGUAGCGGAGGACCCGUGCUCUCCUCGCUGAUCUCCAGCGAGGAGUCCUGGAGCCCCCUCGCCGAUUCCCCCAUCUGCCCCCCUUUAUCCCUGGUGUUACACUGAUUUCCUUCCCCAGCUGGUGAGCCGCCUCUCCCCCUGCUGAGCCCUUCUCCAGCAUCGCUUGAGAGCCUAGCCUCCGCCUCUGGCUCCGAUGUCAGUUCCCUGACAGGUAUCCUGGAGAGCUCCAUUUAGUUUGGUCUGAAGUUUAGGCUCCAAAUGAUGAGAAGGCAUCCCAGCAAACACGGUUCCCACUGCGAAAUCCAGCUUGGUCUCUAGUACUGAAAACACAUUGUGCUUGGCGGUGGACAUUUCGGCACAGACAUUUGUGCACUCCUGCACAGCAGCAACACAGCUUUGUUGCAUGUGAUGCUCCUUUGCCGUCACAGCACUGCGCUGUGUCUUUCUACGAGGGGCCAGCCACCCAGCUCCUUACCAAUGCUGGUGUAUAGAAGUAGCACUGGCUUCUUUUUGCCUGCAUUUCCAAGAUUAAAAUUAGCACACAGAGCACUAUCCCUGCUUUCUUCUAAGGCUUGCUGCUUUCUUUGUUUCCCUUAUACUUUAUUUCUUUGGUCACCAAAUAACAUUAGUUAAGAAGUUUGCAAAUAAUGAUGAUAACAACAAGGAGCACCCAUCAGUUCCAAAUGCAACCGUGGCUCCCACAAAGACAUCUUCGCUAUAUUAAUGGGACACGGGUGGCGCUGUGGGUUAAACCACAGAGCCGAGGACUUGCCGAUCAGAAGGUCGGCAGUUUGAAUCCCCGUGACGGGGUGAGCUCCCGUUGCUCGAUCCCUGCUCCUGCCAACCUAGCAGUUCGAAAGCACAUCAAAGUGCAAGUAGAUAAAUAGGUACUGCUCCGGCGGGAAGGUAAACGGUGUUUCCGUGUGCUGCUCUGGUUCGCCAGAAGCGGCUUAGUCAUGCUGGCCACAUGACCCGGAAGCUGUACGCCGGCUCCCUCGGCCAAUAAAGCGAAAUGAGCGCUGCAACCCCAGAGUCGGUCAUGACUGGACGUAAUGGUCAGGGGUCCCUUUACCUUUACCUUUAUUCCUCCUGGACUGAUGAACGUCAAUAUUAAAUCUGAAGGGGAAGCACACAUACUGGUUUGGUCACCCCCCUUCAGAUUUCCCCCACCCUUCAAAGUCUGUUUGAUGAUUGGCGGUGGGGAAAUUAUGAUCAGUUAUAGAAGGAAAGUGGAGUUUUGUGUGAGAGUGUGCAUGCAAGAAGGUGUGUGUGUGGGGGGGGGAGACUAAGUUUUAGGGUGGGGGCAUAAAGGCAAAUACCAGUUUGAGAAUCUAAAGGAAAACUAGGCCAAGAGGAAAAUGGUUUCCAAAAAAGGACAACACAAGUGGCUUUGAUAUGGAUAUGUUCACUGCCUUGAAGAGACACAGCUCUAGAGAAACUCUUUAUCAGUGUCAAAUUAUGACAAAUGACAUUGGGGGGAAAGUCACAGGGGCCGCUGAACACUGUCGCAGCAGGAACACCUUAGAAAUUACACAGGUAUUUUUUUCCACCGCUCUGUGCCUUGGGGGGGAUAGUUCCCUCCCCUCAUUCUUCCUCUUUUACUACUUCUCCUUCCCCAUUUCAGUAUUAAUUAAUCAGAAGGAAUAAAGGAUUGUCUUCUGUUCUAUUCAUAUUUUCUGCUUUAUUUUAAGCCUAAGAAAAUGGGGGGCUGGGAGGGAAAGAAACAUGAAAAUGGAGCGUUUGGGUGAAGAUAACACCGCCCAGCUUCUCGGCGCGUGCAGAAAGACGUUAUUUGCCUCUCUUGACAAGACAAAUUGCAAAAUUUGUGACCUGCUGUCUCGUCUGGCAGGACGGCUUGGCAAAUGCAGAAAUGUAAAAUAAGCAGCAAUUAUGGGAAGACAAUAAAAGUCAGUAGGCUUUUCUUUUUCCUUUCUCUUUUGGCAGCAGUUUAUGAGAGGUAACCUUAGCGUGGAAGCUAAGCGGGGGGCCUCCAGACUGUCACUGUUUUACAGGAGGGGUUCAAGCACAGACCAGAACUUUUUGAGCUGUGUACACACCAUGGAUUUAAGGCACAUUUAAAGCACAUGGCUUCUCCAAAGCAUCCUGGGAGCUGUAGUUUGUUAAGGGUGCUGAAAAUUGUAGCUCUCUGGUUUGUGAACUACAGUUCUCAGGAUUCUUUGGGGGAAGCUAUGUGCUUUAAAUGGGACGCGGGUGGCGCUGUGGGUUAAACCACAGAGCCUAGGACUUGCCGAUCAGAAGGUCGGCAGUUCGAAUCCCCGUGACGGGGUGAGCUCCCAUUGCUCGGUCCCUGCUCCUGCCAACCUAGCAGUUCAAAAGCACGUCAAAGUGCAAGUAGAUAAAUAGGUACUGCUCCAGCGGGAAGGUAAACGGCGUUUCCGUGUGCUGCUCUGGUUCAUCAGAAGCGGCUUAGUCAUGCUGGCCACAUGACCCGGAAGCUGUACACCGGCUCCCUUAGCCAAUAAAGCGAGAUGAGUGCCGCAACCCCAGAGUUGGUCACGACUGGACCUAAUGGUCAGGGUCCCUUUACCUUUUUAUGUACUUUAAAUGUAUGGUGUGUACACAGGCUAGGUUUGCUCAGUUUAUUAUUAUUUCUUAGUACAUUUAUAUCCAUCCUUUUAUCUAAGGAGCACAAAGUGAUUUUUAUACACACUUCUCCUUUCUCUUUUAUCCUCAUGACAACCCUGUAAGGUAGGUUAGGCUGAGUAGUAGCCAGAGUGGGUUUCAUGGCUGAGUGCAGAUUUGAACCCUUGUCUCCCAGGUCCUAGUCCUGCAUUCUAACCACUUCAGUGUAGAAAACAUUCCCUAUUUGGAAAGUUUGAAAAACACUGAUCUAGACCAAGAAAACAACAACCCUUAACAACUCUCCAGUCUGUUUUUAAUGUUUUCUAACAGCUCCCUCAAAGCCUUGUCUAUAUAAAUGUUGAAUUAUAUGGUUCUUUGACUCUUUACUAGAAAUUGCUCAGUAUGACCUUCUUUAUAUAAUCUUUUUCAUUUCCGUCCCCCCAAUAUUCUGCCGUAUCUCACAGAGGAAUAUCUAUAACUGUCAAGAAGCACAACUCC